UGAUUGAGGUGCAGAGCAAAGUGAAGGGCUGCCCAGGUGAGGCCAGGCUGACUGAAAAAGAUGGAUACUACUAUGCUGAAUAUGCGGAAUCUGUUUGAGCAGCUUGUGCGCGGGGCGGAGAUUCUCAAGGAAGGAAACGAACUCCAAUUUAUCCAGUUGGUGAAGGACUUUGAGGAUUUCUUUAAAAAGUGGGAGAGGACUGACUAUGAGCUGGGGAAAUACAAGGAUCUUUUGAUAAAAGCAGAGACUGAGUGAAGUGCUCUGGAUGUUAAGCUGAAGCAUGCACAUAAUCAGGUGGAUGCAGACAUCCAAACGGAGAGCUGAGGCUAACUGCGAAAAGCUGGAGUAACAGAUUCAGCUGAUUGGAGAGAUGUUCCUGUGUGACAUAUCUGGCAGCAUUCAACUAAGCGGGGAGCAAAAAUCAGCUUUGGCUUUUCUCAACAGAGGCCAACCAUCCAGCAGCAAUGCUGGGAACAAAAGACUUUAAAUUAGCGAUGAAUCUGGUUCCAUUUUAUCAGGUAUCAGCUUUGACAAGACUGAUGAAUCACUGGAUUGCGACUCUUCUUUGGUGAAGACUUUCAAGCGGAAGCAGAGAGAAAAGAGGUGCUCUAGUAGCCGACAGUUUGUUGAUGGUCCCUCUGGACCUGUAAAGGAAACUCGUUCCAUUGGCUCCACAGUAGACCAGGGGGAAUGAAUCCAUAGUUGCAAAAACUACAGUGACUGUUCCCAAGGAUGGCGGGCCCAUCAAAGCUGUGCCCACUAUUGAGACUGUGCCAUACUGGACCAGGAGCCAAAGGAAAACAGGUACUUUACAACCUUGGAACAGUGACCCCACCCUGAACAGCAGGCAGCUGGAGCCAAGAACUGAGACAAUGUGGGCACGCCACAGAGUAACAGAGGGAUGUGCCUGAAUGACUUUGUCUCUAAGACGGUUAUUAAACCUGAAUUCUAUGUUCCAUGUGGAAAGCAGAUAAAAUUUGGGAAACUAUCUCUGAAGUGUCAGGACUGUUGUGUGAUCUCUCGUCCAGAAUGUCGGGACCACUGUCCCCUUCCCUGCAUUCCUACCCUGAUAGGAACACCUGUCAAGAUUGGAGAGGGAAUGCUGGCCGACUUUGUGUCCCAGACUUUUCCAAUGAUCCCCCGCAUUGUUGUGCAUUGUGUAAAUGAGAUUGAGCAGAGAGGUCUUACUGAGACAGGCCUGUAUAGGAUCUUGGGCUGUGACAGCACAGUAAAAGCUGAAAGAGAAAUUCCUCAGAGUGAAAACUGUACCCCUCGUCAGCAAAGUGGAUGAUAUCCAUGCUAUCUGUAGCCUUCUUAAAGACUUUCUUCGAAACUUCAAAGAACCUCUUCUGACCUUUCGCCUAAACAAAGCCUUUAUGGAAGCAGCAGAAAUCACAGAUGAAGACAACAGCAUAUCUGCCAUGUACCAGGCUGUUGGUGAACUGCCCCAGGCCAACAGGGACACAUUGGUUUUCCUCAUGAUUCACUUGCAGAGAGUGGCUCAGAGUCCAUAUACUAAAAUGAAUGUUGCCAAUCUGGCUGAAGUCUUUGGCUCUACAAUAGUGGCCCAUGCUGUGCCCAAUCCAGAACCAGUGACGAUGUUACAGGACAUCAAGUGUCAACCCAAGGUGGUCGAGCGCCUGCCUUCCUUGCCCCUGGAGUACUGGAGUCAGUUCUCAAUAGUGGAGCAGAGAACAUUGACCCCCUACAUGUCACUGAAAACUCAAAUGCCUUUUCAACACCAGAUAUUAAAGUGAGUUUACUGGGACCUGUGACCACUCCUGAUCAUCAGCUUCUCAAGACUCCUUCAUCUAGUUCCCUGUCACAGGGAGUCUGUUCCACCCUCACAAAGAACACUCCCAGAUUUGGGAGCAAAGGCAAGUCUGCCACUAACCUAGGAAGGCAAGGCAACCUUUUUGCUUCUUCAAUGCUCAAGUGAAGUCACAUCUACCUAUUACUCCCAGCAUUGAUUGACUAUAAGAAAGGAUGCACCUGUACUCUCUGCUCUACAGCCUCCUCUUCUCAUUACUAUUUUUAGCAUUCUCCAGGCUUUUACUCAAGUUUAAUUUUGCAUGAGGGUUUUACUAAAAUUUUAUAUAUCUCCCCUUCCUUCUCCUCGAGUCACAUAAUAUCAGUACCUUGUUCUGGUCACUGUUGGGAGCUUUUAGAUGAGACAUCUUUCCAGGAGUAGAAGGGUUAGUAUGGAAUUGAUUGUGAUUCUUUUGGGGGAAGGGGGUUACUAUCCCUUUGGCUUAAAGCCAAAUGCUGCUCAUGGAAUGAACGAUCUUUCUCUAGUUUCAUUCAACUGAUUUCCAUGAGACAAUGACAGAAACCCUACCUAUCUGAUAAGAUUGGCUUGUCUCAGGGUGGGAAGUGGGAGGGUGGGGCGAAGAAAGGAUUACACCAGAAGAUUUAGGAUGCCUCCUUCUAAGAACUGGAAGUUCUCAUUCCCCAUUAUGAACUGAGCUAUAAUAUGGAGCUUUCAUAAAAAUGGGAUGCAUUGAGGACAGAACUAGUGAUGGGAGUAUGUGUAGCUUUGAUUUGGAUGAUUAGGUCUUUAAUAGUGUUGAGUGGCACAACCUUGUAAAUGUGAAAGUACAACGCAUAUUUAUCUCUGAUGUGCCAUUGGCUGAACCUUGGGUUAAUUUGGGGUCAAAGUCAGUUUUUCUUUUAAAAUUGAAUUCAUUCUGAUGCUUGACCCCCAUACUCCCAACCUUGUCCAGUGGAGCCCAACUUCCAAAGGUCAAUAUGUCGUCCUUUGGCAUCCCAACUAACAAUAAAGAAUAGGCUAUAA